UACAGAGGUCUCAAGCGUUGUUCGGAUUCAUUGGGCGUAAAGGGUGCGUAGGCGGCGGAAUAAGUCGGGUGUGAAAUCCCGGAGCUCAACUCCGGAACUGCACUCGAUACUGUUUCGCUAGAGUACUGGAGAGGAGACUGGAAUUCACGGUGUAGCAGUGAAAUGCGUAGAUAUCGUGAGGAAGGCCAGUGGCGAAGGCGAGUCUCUGGACAGUUACUGACGCUGAGGCACGAAGGCCAGGGGAGCAAACGGG
rnacentral:rRNA from 1 species